AACGAACGCUGGCGGCAUGCCUAACACAUGCAAGUCGAACGAGACCUUCGGGUCUAGUGGCGCACGGGUGCGUAACGCGUGGGAACCUGCCCUUAGGUUCGGAAUAACUCCCCGAAAGGGGUGCUAAUACCGGAUAAUGUCUUCGGACCAAAGAUUUAUCGCCUUUGGAUGGGCCCGCGUUGGAUUAGCUAGUUGGUAGGGUAAAAGCCUACCAAGGCGACGAUCCAUAGCUGGUCUGAGAGGAUGAUCAGCCACACUGGGACUGAGACACGGCCCAGACUCCUACGGGAGGCAGCAGUGGGGAAUAUUGGACAAUGGGCGAAAGCCUGAUCCAGCAAUGCCGCGUGAGUGAUGAAGGCCUUAGGGUUUAAAGCUCUUUUACCCGGGAUGAUAAUGACAGUACCGGGAGAAUAAGCUCCGGCUAACUCCGUG
rnacentral:rRNA from 1 species